rnacentral:rRNA from 1 species
GCGUUGGGAGCUCUCCCAUAUGGUCGACCUGCAGGCGGCCGCGAAUUCACUAGUGAUUAGAGUUUGAUCCUGGCUCAGAUUGAACGCUGGCGGCGUGCUUAACACAUGCAAGUCGAACGUGAAAGUCCUUCGGGGCGAGUAAAGUGGCGCACGGGUGAGUAACGCGUGGAUAAUCUACCCUUAAGAUGGGGAUAACGGCUGGAAACGGUCGCUAAUACCGAAUACGCUCCCGAUUUUAUCAUUGGGGGGAAAGAUGGCCUCUGCUUGCAAGCUAUCGCUUAAGGAUGAGUCCGCGUCCCAUUAGCUAGUUGGCGGGGUAACGGCCCACCAAGGCAACGAUGGGUAGCCGGUCUGAGAGGAUGACCGGCCACACUGGAACUGGAACACGGUCCAGACUCCUACGGGAGGCAGCAGUGGGGAAUAUUGCGCAAUGGGCGAAAGCCUGACGCAGCGACGCCGCGUGAGGGAUGAAGGUUCUCGGAUCGUAAACCUCUGUCAGGGGGGAAGAAACCCCCUCGUGU